CCUACGGGAGGCAGCAGUGGGGGAUAUUGCACAAUGGGGGGAACCCUGAUGCAGCGACGCCGCGUGGGUGAAGGAGCGUUUCGGCGCGUAAAGCUCUAUCGGCAGGGAAGAAGGAUGACGGUACCUGACUAAGAAGCCCCGGCUUACUACGUGCCAGCCGCCGCGGUAAUACGUAGGGGGCACGCGUUAUCCGGAUUUACUGGGUGUAAAGGGGGCGCAGGCGGGUGCGCAAGCCAGGGGUGAAAGGCCGGGGCCCAACCCCGGGACUGCUGUUGAUACUGCGCGGCUGGAGUGCAGGAGGGGUAGGCGGAAUUCCUGGUGUAGCGGUGAAAUGCGUAGAUAUCAGGAGGAACACCGGUGGCGAAGGCGGCCUGCUGGACUGCGACUGACGUUGAGGCCCGAAAGCGUGGGGAGCAAACAGGAUUAGAUACCCCGGUAGUC
rnacentral:rRNA from 1 species